rnacentral:tRNA from 1 species
CGCGGAGUGGAGCAGUUGGUAGCUUGUCGGGCUCAUAACCCGAAGGUCGCAGGUUCGAAUCCUGCCUCCGCAACCA